UUUGCACUCUAUGCAAGACUCUGCCUUGACACAGUAGCAUACAAUUCAAAAAGUGCAUAAAUUGGAGUGACACUCGCUAAGAAUUCCACCAGUAGUGCUUCCAGACUAAGGUGGACCAUUCCAAAUGUAUUCUUAAUCAUGAAGAAAGUUCAAAGGCACAUAUAGAUGGUGUUGCAGUUUCCACAGGAGCCUUUAUCCAGCUAACACAAACAGUGUGCAAAACAAUAGAUACAUUAUUAAAUCACACAAACUGAACUACAUAAAUUCCAUACACAAAUAUCAUAUUAUAUGCAC